rnacentral:rRNA from 1 species
UACGAGUGCCUCGAGCGUUAUCCGGAAUCAUUGGGCGUAAAGGGUGUGCAGGCGGUCUAGUUAGUCUUCUGUUAAAUUUCUCGGCUUAACCGGGAACCUGCAGGGGAAACGGCUAGACUAGAGGAUGCGAGAGGUUAACGGAACUCAUAGUGUAGCGGUGAAAUGCGUUGAUAUUAUGGGGAACACCAAAUGCGAAGGCAGUUAACUGGAGCACUCCUGACGCUGAGACACGAAAGCGUGGGUAGCGAAUGGG